UGGCAGUGUUGCUGAGUCCUGAGUCAUGGCCCAGGCUGACGUGAUAUUCCCAGGGGCCAGCAGAAUCAGGACAGCCACCAGCAAGGAAACUUCUCCCAACAAUUCCAUUCUAAAGAUCCUGGGUCCACUGUCUUGGGUCACCACUUGGCCUCUGUGAUGUCAAACUUUACGGACCCCAAUUAACCAAACCAGCAGGGAAAGAAGAACUACAAACUACAUCACCUAGAUUCUGGACCAAAGUGAUGUCUAUCUGAGCUCCUGCAGUGGUCGUUCAUGGAGAGCCUGAUGUGCCUUAGAAGCCCGCUGUGACAGCACCCACAGAACUGUGCCCGCUCCCCACUGGCAUCACCAAUAGAAACUUUUCCUGGCCAUUUAAAGAACUCAAAGAAAUUGUGAAACAGAAACGCUAAUCUUAUUUAUAUUCAUUCGUUAUUUAUUUUUUUAGAGGCCGAGUCUCACUAGGUUGUGGUCUCAAACUUCAGGGUGCAAACAAUUCCUGCCUCAGCCUCCUGAGGAGCUGAGACUCUAGGCAUAUGCCACCAUGCCUGGCCAUUCUUAUCUAAUUAUUAACAAUCAAUUUGACAUCAAUAUUUGAAAUGUGGGCUUUUAAUGUGUUUUGAAAAGUUCACCAGAUCUUUGUCACUAUAGAGAUUCAUUGGUUUCAUUAAAGAAUAGCCUUCAUUUUAUCUGAUGUCUAAAGAGCUCUUUUUUGUGGUUUUUAGCAUCACCUGCCACCCCACCCUCUUUCACGGCGGAUAUUCUGUGGAGACAAAAAUUUCCAGGUGGUAGGUCGAGUCAAGGACUAGUUUAAUGGUUCUGCACAUUAAAUUUCCUAGGAACUCUUUUAAAUUCCAGAUGCUAGUUCCCCGUUCCCAGCAUGAUGAAAUCUAAGUCUCAGGGAAUAGAGCUCAGGGUUAGUCGCUCUUUAAAAUCUCYCCAGGUAUCUCUUAUAUAAAACAAAGGUUGAAAAUCACAGAUAAUAAUUUUAUUUUAUCAUUGUUAAUUUAUUGCUAUGAUCAUCAUUAUUAUUAUUAUCCUACAUAUUUAUAUGCCAA
ensembl:lncRNA